rnacentral:rRNA from 1 species
UGGGGAAUAUUGGGCAAUGGGCGAAAGCCUUACCCAGCAACGCCGCGUGAGGGAAGAAGGUUUUCGGAUUGUAAACCUCUGUCCUGGGGGACGAAGGAAGUGACGGUACCCCGGGAGGAAGCCCCGGCUAACUACGUGCCAGCAGCCGCGGUAAUACGUAGGGGGCGAGCGUUGUCCGGAAUUAUUGGCGUAAAGGGCGCGUAGACGGCCGAGUAAGUUAUAGGUGAAAGCCCAUCUUUCAAGGAUGGAAUUGCCUGUAAUACUGCCUGGCUUGAGUGCAGGAGAGGCAAGCGGAAUUCCUAGUGUAGCGGUGAAAUGCGUAGAUAUUAGGAGGAACACCAGUGGCGAAGGCGGCUUUCUGGACUGUAACUGACGUUGAGGCGCGAAAGCGUGGGGAGCAAACAGGAUUAGAUACC